AAUAUCCAAAAUACAUGUAUCAUGAGCAAACAUUUGAAGUCAGAAUGAGGAACUAAUUAGCAAGGUGUUAUCUCACUAAUAAAGUUGCAUAAUUAAAACACUAAAUUUCUUUGGUUAGAUUUUUUUUUCCCAACACAAAGGUCAAUGAAAAAGCUUCUAGAGCACCAGAGUUCUGUUAACUGGAGUAAAAUGGUGGGAAGUAGUUUCUUAGUUUUGGAUCCACAAUAACAUCUCUCCCAAUUCAGUUAGUCGUCCUUGCGCGUCUUACGCCUGAAAAGCGUAUAAAAGAGUGACAAUAACCAUUGCCAAAUGACAAUCAGCCAGUUUCUUGACUUUGGUUUAGGCUCUGGUCUUGGUCCAAAUAGUCCUUUGUAAAGUUCCUUUUGUUUCUUAUAGACAGCCUUCUCGUGUUCUGCAAUCAAAUUCAAUUCCCUUGUAAUGGCUUUAUCUUGUGGAGCAAGCUUACGUGCUUUAAGGAAGUCCUCACGAGCUGCAUCAGUCUGACCAAGUAUAGACCUAGCCUUUCCACGCCUAAACAACGCUUUUACAUUGUUUUCUUCUUCUGCUAGGACAAUGCUACAUUGUGCAAUGGCUUCAUCAUAUCGCUGGAGCUUCAGCAGGCAGGCUGCCAUGUUCAGAUGGCAGGGAUUCUUUACAGCUAAAGCCAUGUCCCGGAACUUACCGAACAGCUGAAACAUGAAGUCAUCUCCCAUAUAUGCAAUGGCCAUUUCAUACUGUUGCAUAGCUUCCUCCAGUUUCUCUUCCUUAAAUAAAGCAUUUCCAUCCAUCUUUCUUCUAUCUGCUGUCCCAAUUCUCUCCUCUACUGUCAUGUCACCUCGUGCUUUUCCUUCUCCUGUCUCAUCGAAGCCAAUCAACUCAACCUCAUACAAUACAUCAGCUGUAGGUGGGACAUUAGGGAAAGAGAAGUUUCCUUCUUUUCCAUAAGCUAGUUCCCAGCCAACAUGAAAUAAAGCACGCUCACCGGAUUUCAUGCUGUUAACGCCAAUAGCUAGGCCAGUCAUUUCCUUUCUCUCUUUUCCUAUAACCAGCUCAAGAGGUUGUUGCUCACGCCAUGUAUCUUCAAACUUGUGCUGCGUGCUUUCAGCCCAUGCCCUGUAAUGCACGAAGCAUGUUGCGUAUUUUGAUGGCUUCUGACCAUGGCCUUCUUUAACAAUUUGCUUGGUUACUUUUUCAUGGAGGACUUCCACUUCUGAAUCAACUUUUGGCGGCCCAGCAUCAUCCUGUGGAAGUUCUCCACGAACAACUGAAGCGCCUUCAGCGAUGAUUUCAUCAGUACUACCCUGGUCAACUGAUGAAUUCUGCAGCUGCUGCUCCUCUUCUACUUCAGCCAUUAUUCGAAAUCUUGCUCAAUUUUCUUAAACCCCAGAAUAGCACCAGCAGCCCAAGUACCCACGUACUAAUCUUCUCGACAAUUGGAAGUAAUUCUCACCGCAUGUAGUGUCAAAAUCCCAAGAAA
rnacentral:misc_RNA from 1 species